GAGGAUAUAGCUCAGUGGUAGAGUUUGUGCUUAGCAUGCAUGAGGUCCUGGGUUCAGUCCCCAGUACCUCU
rnacentral:tRNA from 1 species